CUCCAUGACAACAAGCAUGGAAGGGUUUAUUUGUCAUGGUUUUGUACUUCAUGGUCUAAAUGUCUCUCAUUUUUCUAUUUCCCGGUAAACAAGAUAUUAAGAUGAUGUUUUCCCUCUGAGGCCAAGAGGUGACUCCAGCAAGAAUUCUGAAGAGCCA
rnacentral:lncRNA from 1 species